rnacentral:lncRNA from 1 species
UGCAUUCUGUAACUGCCAAUUCUUUCUCUCUCUCUCUCUCUCUCUCUCUCUCUCAUUCUGCAUCUUUCUAAUGCUCUCACUCUCUCGAUUGCUCUUAUUCUCUCACUUGCUCUUAUUCUAUCUGUCUAUAUCCCUUUCUCUCUUUCUCUGUAUCUCUCUCCACCCCUGCUAUACACCCACAGACCUUUAACAGCAGGCUGCAUUUCUCACCUAGGGAAACCUGGCCCGGAAAGUGUUGUCAAGACGACUGCAUUUCCAACGGCAACUCUCUUGGUGUCAUGGUAACGGGAGACUUUACUGUGGGAGGUUCAUUAGGAGGAGGGGGUUCAUGUCAGACCUGAAGAACAGAACAGCUCUAAGGCCACCCGAUCUAAGGCCACCCGAUCUAAGGCCACCCGAUCUAAGGCCAAGGCAUCUUAACUAGAGGAGAGGAGAGAAAAUGCUGGUAUCCCAAAAGCCAGUGCAGUCGGUCACUGUCAUGGUUCUCAUCAUCCACAGUCAGUCGCUGUCAGGAGAAUGAAAGGGAAACAAUGAACAAAAUGCAGUGGAACUGACGUCGAGGUCCAGAGAUGAGUUUGAGGGCUCUAAAGGUUUCUUCCUUACUUUUGAACAUACUAAACGUUGCUGAAGUCUCUUACGUGUUGCUAGCAAA